CCCUUAGAUGUUCUGGGCCGCACGCGCGCUACACUGACGAAUGCAACGAGCUUAUAACCUUGGCCGAAAGGUCUGGGUAAUCUCCAAAUUUCGUCGUGAUGGGGAUAGAUUAUUGCAAUUAUUAAUCUUCAACGAGGAAUGCCUAGUAAGCGCAAGUCAUCAGCUUGCGUUGAUUACGUCCCUGCCCUUUGUACACACCGCCCGUCGCUCCUGCCGAUUGAAUGGUCCGGUGAAGCGUUCGGACCGUGGCCUUUGGACGGUUCGCCGUCUGUUGGCUGCGGGAAGUUCGUUAAACCUUAUCAUUUAGAGGAAGGAGAAGUCGUAACA
rnacentral:rRNA from 1 species